UGGGGAAUAUUGCACAAUGGGGGAAACCCUGAUGCAGCCAUGCCGCGUGUGUGAAGAAGGCCUUCGGGUUGUAAAGCACUUUCAGCGAGGAAGGAAAGGUUGUUGGCUAAUACCCAGCAACUGUGACGUUACUCGCAGAAGAAGCACCGGCUAACUCCGUGC
rnacentral:rRNA from 1 species